GAUGAACGCUGGCGGCGUGCCUAAUACAUGCAAGUCGAGCGAACAGACGAGGAGCUUGCUCCUUUGACGUUAGCGGCGGACGGGUGAGUAACACGUGGGUAACCUACCUAUAAGACUGGGAUAACUUCGGGAAACCGGAGCUAAUACCGGAUAAUAUUUCGAACCGCAUGGUUCGAUAGUGAAAGAUGGCUUUGCUCUCACUUAUAGAUGGACCUGCGCCGUAUUAGCUAGGUGGUAAGGUAACGGCUUACCAAGGCAACGAUACGUAGCCGACCUGAGAGGGUGAUCGGCCACACUGGGACUGAGACACGGUCCAGACUCCUACGGGAGGCAGCAGUAGGGAAUCUUCCGCAAGGGGCGAAAGCCUGACGGAGCAACGCCGCGUGAGUGAUGAAGGUCUUCGGAUCGUAAAACUCUGUUAUUAGGGAAGAACAAACGUGUAAGUAACUGUGCACGUCCUGACGGUACCUAAUCAGAAAGCCACGGCUAACUACGUG
rnacentral:rRNA from 1 species